GGUUAAGUUAUUAAGGGCUUACGGUGGAUGCCUUGGGACCAAGGGCCGAUGAAGGGCGCGGUAAGGCUGUGAUAAGCCUCGAUGAGCCGUCUAACAGGCAUAGUCGGGGGUGCCCGAAUGGGGUAACCUGUUCCGGUGUUGAGCCGGUUCAUCCUUCCCGUAAGGGAAGGAGGGUAAGCGGGGGAACUGAAACAUCUAAGUACCCCGAGGAAAAUAAAUCAACCGAGAUUCCCUGAGUAGUGGCGAACGAAAGGGGAAGAGCCCAAACCAAUACGACUUAGUGGCGCGAGGGCCUAUGUCGUAUCGGGGUUGUAGGGGGCACCUAGGGUCACCUCGUUAGACCCAAAGGAGUUACAAAUCUUAUUUCUAGUCGAAGGCACCUGGGAAGGACCGCCAUAGAGGGUGAAAGCCCCGUAGACGAAAGGAAUAAGACUCCUGAUGCUCACCCUGAGUACCACGGGGCACGGGAAACCUUGUGGGAAGCUGGGGGGACCACCCUCCAAGGCUAAAUACCCUUGGUCACCGAUAGCGUACCAGUACCGUGAGGGAAAGGUGAAAAGAA
rnacentral:rRNA from 1 species